GAAGGGCUGCAGCUUAGUGGUAGAGCACAUACUUUGCAUGCAAGGGGUGCCAGGUUCAGUCCUUGGCAUUUCC